rnacentral:rRNA from 1 species
UACGUAGGGUGCGAGCGUUAAUCGGAAUUACUGGGCGUAAAGCGUGCGCAGGCGGUUCGUUGUGUCGGCGGUGAAAGCCCCGGGCUUAACCUGGGAAUGGCCGUUGAAACUGGCGAACUGGAGUGUGGCAGAGGGGGGUGGAAUUCCGCGUGUAGCAGUGAAAUGCGUAGAGAUGCGGAGGAACACCGAUGGCGAAGGCAGCCCCCUGGGCCAACACUGACGCUCAGGCACGAAAGCGUGGGAAGCAAACAGG